AUUUUUCAACCUUUUCAACUUUCAGCUGACAAAAUGUAAUUUUUUAACUCUUAAUUGUUUUACUUACUUGUUUGUGUGGACAUUUGAAGAAUGGCAAGUUCCUUUUCGAAAUCCGGCCUACAGAACAAUCUUCCCGAUCUGAUCACAUAUUGGUCACCCUUUUUUAACUGCUUAUUACAACCAACGCAGGUAAAACAAUUGAGAUGAAAUAUUGAGUCCAAAGCUUUCAUAACCAAUUCACUUGCUGAUAUUUUUUCACAACAUCCUGUACAUUUGGCACCAUACAAUCUAUCAAUAUAGAUGAACCAUGAUUAAAAAUUUGAGGAUCAAUGAAUUUAGUCAAACAAAAUAGAAGAUUGGUGAAACACGAUUAAGGUGGAGGUAAAGAUUCAAGGAGGAGUUAUUAGUUUUUCUCUCAUCAACAAAUAUCAACACAGAAAUUGUCUUCAUCAUCAUCUUUUCCCCAUCAUUCUCCUUUCACAAGAUCAACUUGUUUCUAAAUUUCCUUUCCACUCUGGAUUUUUCGUCUUCAACUUCCGAUUUUCAUCAUCUUCUUCCCUCAAGACUAACUACACCAUCACUAAGGAAAGAAAGAAAGAAGACUAAAAUAAUAUAAAAAGAUGUUUCCCCUAAUUUCCUCUUCUCAUCAUCUUUUGCUAUCAUCCUCAUCAUCAUCUCCAUCAUCAUUAGUUCUAUAGGCUUUCUGUUGCUCUUUUUUCCUCUCUUAAUAUUUAUAAAUGAAACCUUUGAGAUAUUUAUUGAAUGAUAAGGAUGGGAAUGAUUGGAAUGAUGGACGAAAGCUGAUAGAGAAAGAAGAAAAGGAAAAAAAUACCAAGAAAGAUUAUGUGAAAUUGGGCAUUAAGAUGAUGAUGGUGAUGGUGAUGGUGAUGAUAAGCAUCAAUAUCAAUGGUAUUUAUGGUUCUUUGACUCUUCACGGACGAGGUCACCUUUCUGAUAUCAAUGGAUACUUACUUUUCAUUGAAACCUUUCACAUCAUGAAGAAGAAGAAAACAACCGACAAGAAAACUGAACAGUUUUGUUCCCAUUUGAUUCACUAAAUUUCCUCUACAACCGAUCUUCCCAUCUAUCAACAUUAAUCUCACCCUUCUCAUCAUAAUCAACUGAUUAUCAUCUUGAUGGCUCAACAAAUGAAUACCACAAACCAGGCAAGAAAUAAAAAAAACAAAUUAUAUAAUACAAAACUGACUAAAAAUAAUCUGGAAAUCAAAUGGCACCAAAAUAUUUUCCUCCCAAUAUAAUUGAAGCGUAAGAAUGGUCGAGAAGAAUCUUCAAAUUCAAUAAUAAUUUUUUCUUGUAAAACUGAUCAAAGUAUUUUUUUCAAAAAAAGACUUGAGAUUAUAUAGCAUUACAUGAAAAGGAGGCAAGGUCAAGGCAUUGAAAAAUAUAGAGCUGAACAAAUGAAAUGAAUUCAACUGGAUUAUUUCAAGUCUACGCUGAUAAACAGUCAAUGAUAAAUGAAGCAUAAUGUGAAAAUAUACAGUGGAAAAUAUGGAAGGCAAAUGGAUUGUUGUUACAUUCCUUAUUCAGUGAAGAAUGCGUUUCCAACGUAAACUAGACCAUCAAAGAUUCCCAAAGAUGCUCAAGAAUGCAUCAAUCAUACAUCAAUUUGCAAACAAGUGAGCGAAUAAAGGAAAGCAAGAGAAAGCAAACAAUCUUUUUCCUUCCCUGCAUUUCACUUACAAUUUUUUGCCUGUUUUUGUUUUCGCCUCAACAAAACAAAAAUGCAUCUCAUAUUUUAUCAAUCCAAUAUAAAGGGACUGAAUAAAAUUUGUGAAAUUCACCUAACUGCACUGGAAUAGAGACUUAAUUUUUACCUCCAAUCAUUUAUCGACUGUUUAAUUUGGAUGGAAAACAUUUUGAUGAGAAAAUAUCACAAUUUUGGCAGAAUCAAUUCAUACAUAAAGUUUGCCCUGUUGUGAUGGCUGAAAUCAUCCUGAAAACCGAAUUUUCUAUCAAGCAUAAAAGUUACUCGAAUAUUUUAACGAAAACAAUUUCAUCCAAGGAUGUUCAGUGAAAUGAAUAUAACUGUGUAUAUCAACGCAUUAUAUUUUUACCUUGGAUUCAGUUGUGAUAUUGAAACUAUUCUGCAAAAUAUCUUCUGACAAAUGCAAAUCUUUUUUUAUCAUCAGUGGAUGAAUGAUUUUAGCUAAAAAGGUUAAGUCUCUAUCGUGCAGAAAAAUGCGCAAAUGUCGAAAGCCUUUCAAAGCUCGUUAUAUUUUAUUCAAGUUUAAUGAGUGGAUGAAAAGACUUUUUUUUCUUGCUUUUUGCAUAAAUGAAAAUUAUGGAACUUUUUUGCUGCUUCUUUGCUAAAUGAUGUUAGUCAAUUGAUGGUAUACUUGACAAAAAAAGGAUUGACAAGAAUAACAAUUUAAGAUGAUGACAAUAAUGAUGAUGGGCAGGAGGAAUGCUGCUUCAAGGUAUUAACAAGAAGGAAAGGAGCUGUUCAUUUUUCAUCGUCGUCUUAAACAAGGAAACCAGGAGAGAGAGGAACAAAAGUAACAAUAAGAAGAUGAUUCAUUGAAAUUGAAUAAAAGAUAGAAAAGGUGAAAACUGUUGAAGAUGAAGAUGAUGCUGGAAAGAGGAUGAGCAGACAAGAAAAAGGAGGAGAAAGAAAGAGAAAAGAUAGGAUAGAAGAUUCUGAAAAGGAGGAGUUUUGAGUAUGAAAAAAGGAAAAGGAGGUGCAACAGACUUUGUGCCUCUUAUUCAGCAUCGUCUAUAGCUAGUUGAGGAUGGCAAAAAAAAACUCAGUCAUGUUGGAAAUAAAAAGCAAAUAUUGAAGAGAAGUGAGCCACGAUGAAGAUGAGGAUGAAGAAACUAAAGGAGUGACAUUUAACCUUUUUUUUCCUCUUCUCUAGAAGCAAAAGCGAAAAAAACAAACCUGGUAAAUGGUGCAAAGCUCAACUUCAGAACUUAAGAGUGAAACAAAAAAAAAGGUUAUUCUCAUCUUCUUAACUGCCUUUCAUCAGAUUUUUAUUUUAAUCAUGCUAAUCAGUGAAUUGGAUUUGCAAAGGGUUGACAUUCAAACAUUACAAGACACGAGACUUAACAUUUAUCACUGGACAUUAUGUUUGUUAAACUGGCAAAAAUUGAUUCAAUGGGUUGAAAUGGUUGCAUUUUUUUAUAUAAGGAUUCAUUUCAAUUUACUUGUAAAGCUUCCUAAUCAUCAUAAUCAUCGUCCCUCAUUAUCAUCAUCAUCACCACUAUUACUAAUACUUAGGGUAACAAAGACAAGCAAUCAAAGCCUCAUCUUCACUGCUAUUUAAACCUUUCAAGCCAAGAAAAUGAAGAAACUUAAUAAUGCCAUUGAAUAUAAUGACAAUGAUGAUCAAGGCUUCUCAACUGUCUUCAUUGGAUUCAUUACGUUGAGACUUCUUGGUAUUCACCUAUUUUUUAUCAUUAAAUAUACAAAGUGGAAAGACAUUAUAAACUUAAAACAAGGACAUUGAUUGAUUAACAAUGGUAACUAGAUGCAACAACAGGACCAAUAUAAAAAAAGGAAACUGGACUUUCAACUUGACUUCCAACCUUCAAAUUUGAUGCCUUGUAACUUUUGAUGAUCGAUCUAGUAACAUUUAUCCAUAUAUAAAUGUAUAAAUCAAAGAGUGGGAGAAACAAGAGGGAGUUAUAAAGCAAAACAAGAUGAAAAAAACAAGGAGCAAAAAGAUGGAUGAAAAAGUUUGCUACAUAUGAUGCAUUGAUGAAAGAGGGCCUAAAAUCUUGUUGACUAUUUUGCCUUUUUUUGGAAGUUGAUGGCGAGUAGCUAACAACUACCUUGUUUUGCCGUGAAAAAAAGGAUAAAGGAUGCAUAAACUGGAGGAACAGGGAAGUCUUUUGAAAAUCAAUUGCGUAAAAUGGAUUGGAUAUGGAGGGUGGAGAAAGAAGGAGAAAGAUGAAAAGUCAUUGAUGGAAGAAAAAAAAGAAGAAAAAUGAAAAGGGAGAAAGAAUCCGUCAUCAUAUAGUUUAUUCGAUGGAAAACAAUAAUAUAAAGAAUUGCUGAUUUAAACAAUUGUCGAAACAAAUCUGAAGCUAAAUCUGUUAUAAUCCGGUCAAAGUGGCUUAAGAUUAAUACAUCCAUACACAUAUAAAAGUGACAUUGUUGAUGAAGGAAAAGUCAAAGGCAAGAUGAAGAAACAAGAUGAGGAAGAAGAUGAGGAAGAAGAUGAGGAACAUUUAACAUGAUUUUUGCUUUGACUUUUUCAUUUUUAGCUUUUACUUUUCAUCAAGCCAAUUCAUAUAUUUUUUUUUAUAACAUUUUUUUUCCUGCUUGCUUAAGCAAACCACUUUGAUAACGUUAGUCUGAUCUCUAAUCUUACAUCAUUUGACUUGCAAUACUUUUUGUUGUUGAGCAUUAAACUGUCUUGUAAGCUUUUCAACAGAAGCUUCAUCCCUUCAAAGAGUCA